rnacentral:rRNA from 1 species
UACGUAGGGUGCGAGCGUUAAUCGGAAUUACUGGGCGUAAAGCGUGCGCAGGCGGUUUUGUAAGCCAGAUGUGAAAUCCCCCGGGCUUAACCUGGGAAUGGCAUUUGGGACUGCAAAGCUUGAGUGUGGCAGAGGGGACUGGAAUUCCUGGUGUAGCAGUGAAAUGCGUAGAGAUCAGGAGGAAUACCAGUGGCGAAGGCGGGUCUCUGGACAGUUCCUGACACUGAGACACGAAGGCCAGGGGAGCAAACGGG